rnacentral:rRNA from 1 species
CCGUCAAUUCAUUUGAGUUUUAACCUUGCGGCCGUAGUCCCCAGGCGGUGAACUUAUCGCGUUAGCUACGGCACUGACGGAUUUAAACCCGCCAACGCCAAGUUCACAUCGUUUACGGCUAGGACUACCGGGGUCUCUAAUCCCGUUUGCUACCCUAGCUUUCGCGUCUGAGCGUCAGAAAUGGGCCAGGAAGCCGCUUUCGCCACUGGUGUUCCUCCGGAUAUCUACGCAUUUCACCACUACACCCGGAAUUCCGCUUCCCUCUACCACUCUCAAGCCUGGCAGUAUUGAACGACCUCUCCCAGUUAAGCCGGGAGCUUUCACAUCCAACUUGCCAUGCCGCCUGCACGCGCUUUACGCCCAGUAAAUCCGGAUAACGCUCGUCUCCUACGUUUUACCGCGGCUGCUGGCACGUAGUUAGCCGAGACUUAUUCUGCAGGUACCGUCCUUCCUCUUCCCUGCAAAAAGUGCUUUACGACCCGAAGGCCUUCAUAGCACACGCGGCGUUGCUGGUUCGCGCUUUCGCACAUUAACCAAUAUUCCCUACUGCUG